rnacentral:rRNA from 1 species
ACUUCACAAUGGGGGAAAACCCGAUGAGGGAAUUCCAAGUGCCAGCACAUUAUGUUGGAUGUUAUCUGGUCUAAAAAAACGGAGAAGUAAGGGCCGGGUAAGAAGGGUGCCAGCAGCCGCGGUAAUACCCGCGGCCCAAGUGGUGGUCGAUAUUCUUGAGCAUAAAAAGUCAGUAGCCGGGCGGGUAAAUCCUUGGGUAAAUCGACCAGCUCAACUGUUCGAAGUCCGGGGAGACUGCAAGACUUAGUAUCGGGAGAGGUGAGAGGUACGUCUGUGGUAGUGGUAACUUCCUGUCAUCCUAGAAGGACUAUCUGUGGCGAACUCGUCUCACUAGAACGAAUCCGACGUUGAGGGACGACG